GAGUGGGUACCUGCGGUGGGGGCUGGGCCGCUCUGGGGUGUGAGGAGACAAAGGGAUCUCGUCCAAGUCGCCUCUUUCUCGCUUUGGAGCUCGAUGCCCUGGCUGUCUCGGCGGUAAAGCCAUUGGGGUCCCGCCCCGGCCGCAGUGAGUGCGGUGUCCUGUUCCAGGGGUGCCCUGGAGCCACUUUCCUUCUAGAGGCAGGGGCGCGUCAGGUGAGACAGGGCCCAUCUCUGAGCCUCAGCGUCCCCCUCUGUACAAUGGGGAUAAGAGUGCUGAACCCACAGGGUCGCUGAGAGCAUUCAGUGAUAACACAGGAGUAAGCCUGUGGCCCUGUGGUUAUUUCGGGGUCAUGAAUGCCUGUAUGAAAUCAGGCCACUUCUUAUUCCUUAUUAACUUUCUUGUUACGGGACAAACGGGGAAAGGAGAAGAGAAAGGCCCUGCUUCUAAGGCCAGUGGCCGAGCUCAUAUCAAGUGUCUGAAGGAGGCAGAUUCUGAGGGUCUGUGUCCUGAGGUUCGGCUGGAGUUUCUACUCUAGAUUCAAGGGCAGCUGUCCUGAAGAGACCCCCAACACUUCACACGUCUUUGGUGGGAUCUGGCUCCUGGCUCAAGUUGUGGUGAUUAUGAAGAAAACUUCUACAGACAUCUGUGAACAGGUUUUUGUGUGGACAUAAGUUUUCAACUCCUUUGGGUACAUACCAAGAAACAUGAUUGCUGGAUCAUAUGGUGAAUUUCCAGGACUCAGGAUGAAAUUUGGACUGAACUUGCUUGGAAUGGAGUCCAUUCAAGGUCAUACACCAUGAGGGGUGCACAUAAUUUGGAGUCUGGGACCCACUCGGAGCUCUAGGAGGAGGUGACUGCGGUUCUGCAAGGAGGGACAGCUGAGCGAGAAUCAGAAUCUCUUUCUGGAUCUUAGUGCCUGAGCCACCCAGUGUGAGUUCCUUCUCCAGCCUGUUCCGUCACAUGGGUCUUCACUCAGCAUGCAUGACUCUUCACACCUCCAGUGACCCAGGGGCUACCAAGGUCAUGUUAAUGGUUUCACACAUUCUAGUUUCUUGUGGUGUUAUGGUGGCCUCAUAAAACCACCUUAACAUAUGAAGAAGAGGAAGGCUCUCCCUGCAGUCGUCGGAGGCUCCUCAAAGAGGAGCUGGGCCUGGGACAGUGGGCAGGACUUCUGUGGGCUGAAUGGGAGGGAGGGGCCGGGGAGUCCAUGCUGACUGGAGUGAAGAGUGGGGGCUCCCAGGUGAGCAGACAGGGCUCAGAGGUAACUGAUGGGUCACCCCAGGGAAGUGAGGCCGUCCAGGUGUAGGACGGAUUGGGAAAGGAACACAUUUGCUUCCAUGGGAUGCUGCAUAGCCCCUUUGUACACUGAAGUGGCAUAAGAACGCUAAGAAGGAGCAUGCCCUGCACAUCUAUCACUGGUCCCCGGGGGCCGGGAAGAACCAGGAGCACUGACAGUAGUGAAGUGGAGUUGAUGCUCAGGCCCCCAAACCUCCAUUGAAGUAGGAAGCAGGCAUCAAGGGGAAGGAUUCAUGACAGAGGGACCUCCCUGUGCCAUCUGGAAACCAUACAUCCUCUUUAGUUUCUGGCCCCAGGUCCCAGGUCCACCUGCCAGCGGGAUCCUACCUGCCUCCUGGAGUCACAUUCUUAGUCAGAACACGCUGUCCACAGGCGAGCUCUCUCCAUGUUCUCAUUUGUUGCACCUCUGCAUUGUCACCAAGAUCACU
rnacentral:lncRNA from 1 species